CUUUAAACGUUGUUAUUGCAUUAUUUCAUAAUAAUUUUUUCAUUGAGAAGUUGUUAAGAAUAUUAUAGAUUUUUAUGUACAUUCUUAUUUUUUGCUUCUUACAACACUGCAAGCUACAUUGAUUUAUGUCCCGUUAAGCAAAACUGGUGUAGAGCAAUUAAAAAACAUGAUUUAACUAUCAAAUUUUGAUUAAAUCUUAAUUAUAAGGAGGAGUUACAUGCAGAUAUCUGUAUCAGACUUGACAAGAGACUUGAAAGAGACUCUCCUAUAACAGCAAUACCACAAAAUUCGCUAAUAGUUCUACAGAUACCACGAGGAAAUCUAGAAUGUAUACAGCCAAAAAUAUUAUUGCACGUAUUAAAGUUUUACCUUAAUAGCUGCGAUUAUCUGCCGGCAUUUGAAUUAAUGAUGAAACAACGUAUAAAUUUGAAUUUGAUAUACGAUCACAAUUCACAAUUUUUUAUUGAUAAUAUAGAACAAUUUGUAACGGAUAUUGCACACAGAAAUAUAAAUAUAUUGACUAUAUUUUUAACAGAAUUAAGUGAUGAAGAUGUCACUAGAACAACAUAUAUGUAUUGUUAUGAAGAUAUAUGUAUUGUCAUGCUGAACAAUUUGAUGCUGAAAUUAAGAAAACUACAAUUAAUAAGGUAGACAAAGUUUGUAAAAUACUAAGAGCUAUUAUGGAAACCGAGUGGAUGCGAGUGAAUUCAUGUGAUUAAUAUUGAUAACCUUGGUCAAAAAUAAAAAGAGAUAUGGUUUGAAAGAUGCACUUCGUAAAAUAAAGAAUAUUAAAAUGUUCGAGGGUUCAUUGGAAGAAUCACUGCAAUGUGUUUCUUCUGUAUCCGCCAGCGAAAUUCUGAAAUAUUUAUGCAUUUUGUAAAUAUUAACACAUUAUAUGAUGUUGCAUUAGGCAUGUACGAUUUUGACCUUACAAUGUUCAGCUUCCAAAUCGUCGAAGGACCCUAAAGAGUAUAUUCUUGAAUGACUUAAAAAAAUUAGACAAGAAUUACAAGGAAUAUUCUAUUAAUAUGCAUCUUAAACGCUAUGAAUUGACGAGUGUCACUAAAGUUAGGCAUUCUUCAAACCUAAAAGGUUUGAAAGGCGUGAACACGAUUUAUACAAGGUAGCAAUGAAAACAUUUGAAAAAUAGUACGGAAUAUCAAAAGGUGGUUGAAAUCUAUGAAGAUUUUCUCUCAAAUAAAUAUAAAUAUUCAGAGGCUGGUAUGAUGUAUUAUAGAAGCGGUCAAUUUCACAAAGCUUUAGAAAUAUUUAGCACGAGAGGUAAUGAUUGGCAAGAUGCGAUUGCAUUAUCAAAAGAAAUGAAUUGAGAUCAGUGAAUAGCUAUGCUCUUUAUGAAACGCUACUUGAAAAUU